rnacentral:rRNA from 1 species
GACAGAGGGUGCAAACGUUGUUCGGAAUUACUGGGCGUAAAGCGUGUGUAGGCGGCUACAUAAGUCGGAUGUGAAAGCCCCGGGCUCAACCCGGGAAGUGCACUCGAUACUGCGUAGCUUGAGUCUCGGAGAGGUUGGUGGAAUUCUCGGUGUAGAGGUGAAAUGCGUAGAUAUCGAGGGGAACACCUGCGGCGAAGGCGGGUUGCUGGGCUGACACUGACGCUGAUGUGCGAAAGCUAGGGGAGCGAACGGG